AUUGAACGCUGGCGGCAGGCCUAACACAUGCAAGUCGCACGAGUGGCGGACGGGUGAGUAAUGUCUGGGAAACUGCCUGAUGGAGGGGGAUAACUACUGGAAACGGUAGCUAAUACCGCAUACCAUCGGAUGUGCCCAGAUUGGAUUAGCUAGUAGGUGGGGUAAAGGCUCACCUAGGCGACGAUCCCUAGCUGGGCUGAGAGGAUGACCAGCCACACUGGAACUUGUACACGUGCCAUACUCCUCCGUGAGGCAGCAGUGGGGAAUAUUGCACAAUGGGCGCAAGCCUGAUUCAUCCAUGCCGCGUGUAUGAAGAAGGCCUUCGGGUUGUAAAGUACUUUCAGCGGGGAGGCGUUACCCGCAGAAGAAGCACCGGCUAACUCCGUGCCAGCCGCCGCGGUAAUAC
rnacentral:rRNA from 1 species